UUGACAUCCCCCACGUGUGGCUCUACCUAGCGGAACUGGUAACACCCAUUCUGCAGGAAGGUGGGGUGCCCAUGGGGGAGCUGUUCAGGGAGAUUACAAAGCCUCUGAGACCGUUGGGCAAAGCUGCUUCCCUGUUGCUGGAGAUCCUGGGCCUCCUGUGCAAAAGCAUGGGUCCUAAAAAGGUGGGGACGCUGUGGCGAGAAGCCGGGCUUAGCUGGAAGGAAUUUCUACCUGAAGGCCAGGACAUUGGUGCAUUCGUCGCUGAACAGGUUUGGGGAUGGAGUUGGGUUAAUUCUAGCAUUUGAGGCUGGCCAGUCUUCUUUCUUGUCUCCUGUUGGCAACCUUACCUCUUAACUGCGGGCCUUUUCCAUUGCAGAAGGUGGAGUAUACCCUGGGAGAGGAGUCGGAAGCCCCUGGCCAGAGGGCACUCCCCUCCGAGGAGCUGAACAGGCAGCUGGAGAAGCUGCUGAAGGAGGGCAGCAGUAACCAGCGGGUGUUCGACUGGAUAGAGGCCAACCUGAGUGAGCAGCAGAUAGUAUCCAACACGUUAGUUCGAGCCCUCAUGACGGCUGUCUGCUAUUCUGCAAUUAUUUGUAAGAGGAACCAGGGAGAUGGAGGGGCAAGGGUGGGCCUGACA
rnacentral:lncRNA from 1 species